CGCCGCGCCCAGCCAAUCCCCGGGCCCUCAUUUAAAUCAGCGCCCCCUUUCCCGCGCUUUCCAGGACGGGAUGGGCUUUCCAGCGGCUCGGGGUGGGAUGGGAUGGGACGGGGCGGGCUCGGCACCGCUCGGCACGACACGGCACCGGGCGCGACCGGCCGCUCUCCUCCCGCCCGGCCUCUGCCGGGGGGCUGCGCCGAGGGUCGCUCUGCACCCCCCCGCCUCCUCCCGCCCCUACGUGCCCCCGCAGCAGCUCCGCAGGGCCGGCAGCGGAGCGGGAGAGGCGGGCAGCACCCACCCCUGCAUGGCCCUGCACCCGCAACUAACUUCCCUCUCCCUGUCCUAGGCACUCCCCCCUCUCUCUUUCCUCUCUCCCCCUUUCAGGUCUCCCUCUCCCUUUCCCCUCUCUCUCUUUUUCUUCUUCCCUUCCCCUCUCCCAUUUGCGCUCUCUCUUUCCCUGGCCUUUCCUUUCUCCCCACCUUUUCUCUUUCCAUCCAUUUUCUUUUCCUAUUUCCGACCCCCUUACUUCUCCCUUUUCCCAUUUUUCCCUCUCCUCGCCAUGGUCCCCCCUCCCCUGCCCCCACGUUCAGCGCACCUCCCUCACACCUUCUCCUCCCCAAACAAUGCCCUCCCCGUCCGGUCUCCGCACCUGGGGGCAGCCCGAAGGGCCCCUUUUCGCGCAGCCAAACGCGGGGCCCGCCCGUCCCGAGACGUGUCCCGGGGGCUGGGGACGCACCCGCGAUCCCCCACCGAUCCUCUCUGCUCCUCGUUUCCCCUCCGUUUUAAUUAUUUCCCCUCCACAGUCUGCUAUUUCCCGCACAGAUUCAUAACGCGAUACGCGUGUAGCGGCGAAUUUGGCACGUACAAAUAAUAACAGCAUCAAUAAUCAGACUAAAAUGCCAGGAGACGAGAGUAAAAUGUGACCUGCUACAAAACGAGGGAUCCGCGAAACGAAGCGAUCGCGGCGGGAGCAGCCGCGGCAGAGCGCUGCCUGCCGGUCCCGCCGGCUCCGGCUCCCGGCGAGCUCUGCUCGGGUUAUUUAUUUCUACCUCUCUUCGCCCUCCCCCUCCCCGCCAUCCCCUUAAAAAAAAAAAAAUAAAAAUUAAAUAAAUAAAAUCUACGAUCUCAA